CGCGCAGGCGGGCUGGUCAGUCUGGGGUGAAAUCUCACGGCUCAACCGUGAGAGGUCCCUGGAUACUGCUAGCCUUGAGGGGCUCAGAGGAGAGUGGAAUUCCGGGUGUAGUGGUGGAAUGCGUAGAUAUCCGGAGGAACACCAGUGGCGAAAGCGGCUCUCUGGGGGCAACCUGACGCUGAGGCGCGAAAGCGUGGGAGCGAACC
rnacentral:rRNA from 1 species